GACGAACGCUGGCGGCGUGCUUAACACAUGCAAGUCGAACGGUAAGGCCCUUCGGGGUACACGAGUGGCGAACGGGUGAGUAACACGUGGGUGAUCUGCCCUGCACUUCGGGAUAAGCCUGGGAAACUGGGUCUAAUACCGGAUAGGACCCUGGGAUGCAUGUCCUGGGGUGGAAAGCUUUUGCGGUGUGGGAUGGGCCCGCGGCCUAUCAGCUUGUUGGUGGGGUGAUGGCCUACCAAGGGGACGACGGGUAGCCGGCCUGAGAGGGUGACCGGCCGCACUGGGGAUGAGAUACGGCCCAGACUCCUACGGGAGGCAGCAGUGGGGAAUAUUGCACAAUGGGCGCAAGCCUGAUGCAGCGACGCCGCGUGAGGGAUGACGGCCUUCGGGUUGUAAACCUCUUUCAGCACCGACGAAGCGCAAGUGACGGUAGGUGCAGAAGAAGGACCGGCCAACUACGUGCCAGCCGCCGCAGUAA
rnacentral:rRNA from 1 species